rnacentral:rRNA from 1 species
UACGGAGGUCUCAAGCGUUGUUCGGAUUCAUUGGGCGUAAAGGGUGUGUAGGUGGCGCUGUAAGUCGGGUGUGAAAUUUCGGAGCUUAACUCCGAAACUGCAUUCGAUACUGCGGUGCUUGAGGACUGGAGAGGAGACUGGAAUUCAUGGUGUAGCAGUGAAAUGCGUAGAGAUCAUGAGGAAGACCAGUGGCGAAGGCGGGUCUCUGGACAGUUCCUGACACUGAGACACGAAGGCCAGGGGAGCAAACGGG